CGGACCGAGGGGGCACCAGGCGUAUUCCGUUUAAACGCGUGCUCUAAUGAUGAAAAGGGUGUGAUGAGAUAUAAUCAGCAAGUAGAUAAGGUAGAGCAUUGUGAUGGCAAAGCUGGGUGACCCACUUGUUAAUAACACCUGGCAGCUCGUCUCUGUUGCCUGCAUUAUCGUGUAAGGAAAUAGCACUCUACCACAAGUCUUCUGCCAAAAAUGGAAAGUAUUGGAUUAAACCAGUCUACAAAGAUCUAUCUUAUCAGGUAUUCUGUGAUGCUAAUGAAGGUUGGACUCUAAUCAUGAAAAUAGAUGGAAAUCAACAAACCUUUAGCUAUGAAAGCAAUCUGUGGGCAAACAAGAAAACAUUCCAACCAACUAAUUU